GACAUGCGCGCAGCUGAUGCAGCGACGCCGCGUGAGUGAUGAGGUCUUCGGGUUGUAAGCUCUGUCGUCAGGGACGAUGAUGACAGUACCCGUAGAGGAAGCAUCGGCUAACUCCGUGACAGCAGCCGCGGUAAUACUAUAUGCCGUCAUACGCGGUAAUGCGC
rnacentral:rRNA from 1 species